AUGGAUGCUUCUCGCGGAGCUCCUCCGCGGGAAGGUGGAUGCGGUGAACCUCGCCGCGGAGGGCAUACAACGGUACAUUGGCUUCUUCACCUACAGAGCCACGGUGGGUUGGCUGGGUAUCUCGUCUUCGCCAACGUCAAGGGAACCGGCCGGGUGGCCGUGUUUGGCUUCCUAUGGAUUGUGUGUGCCACUAAGUGGGUGCAGAGGUUCGUCUUCACCAAGGUACUGAAACACUCCUUAUCCUACGACAUGAGUGCCGGGCUCGUCUCCUGCUACAUGGACCAGAUGAUGCUACAACUCCGGCAAGGCGUGCCGGGGAGUAGCACGUCGCCGGAGGAGAAGCUGAAGACGUGCAACUACGUCAUCAUGGGGGAAGAGAGGCUGGUGUCGGAGGCAUCUGGCCUGCGGGGUUACCGGCUCCAUGGCCUCGACAAGGUCGCCACCGUCGGCACCGUCGGCAGGGUAUGGCGACUCGCCGACGUUGAGGAUCGAGCGCCUGCCGGCCAUGGCCAAGGAAGAACCGACCACUACCGGGACCUCAUCCUGCAAGGCUUGUUUAAGGAAGAUGAAGAUGGCGGCUCCCUAGUGUUCGAGGUGCUCAACAAUGAGGUGGACUUCCUGAGCGAGUAUUACCACUCGGUCUACCCCGUUGUGCUCGCCAGCCCCUACUUCUUUGUUGUCAACUACCUUGUCGUGCCGGUUGUGGUGUGCUGCCUGUGUGCCACCACCACUGUUCUCUCCGGCAGCGGCCACGUGUUGUUCGCGUUCCAUGCCAUCAAAGCAGACAAGUACGCCAUACGCUACGGGGUAUUAAGGUUGCUUAGGUGCCUCCUGGAAAGAGCCCUUACCAUCCCCCAGGCCUUCUUCCCUGCCAUCGACGUCAUCAUCUCCUACCUCCUCUUCACCGCCUUCUUCCUGGAGCAGUUGAUCGAGUUUGUGGUGUUCCUGCUCUCCAACUAG
rnacentral:rRNA from 1 species